CUCAGGAUGAACGCUGGCGGCGUGCCUAAUACAUGCAAGUCGAGCGAACAGAUAAGGAGCUUGCUCCUUUGACGUUAGCGGCGGACGGGUGAGUAACACGUGGGUAACCUACCUAUAAGACUGGAAUAACUCCGGGAAACCGGGGCUAAUGCCGGAUAACAUGUUGAACCGCAUGGUUCUACAGUGAAAGACGGUCUUGCUGUCACUUAUAGAUGGACCCGCGCCGUAUUAGCUAGUUGGUGGGGUAACGGCCUACCAAGGCGACGAUACGUAGCCGACCUGAGAGGGUGAUCGGCCACACUGGAACUGAGACACGGUCCAGACUCCUACGGGAGGCAGCAGUAGGGAAUCUUCCGC
rnacentral:rRNA from 1 species